UGUUUCCUACGGGACGCAGCAGUGGGGAAUAUUGCACAAUGGGGGAAACCCUGAUGCAGCAACGCCGCGUGAGUGAAGAAGUAUUUCGGUAUGUAAAGCUCUAUCAGCAGGGAAGAAGAAAGACGGUACCUGACUAAGAAGCCCCGGCUAACUACGUGCCAGCAGCCGCGGUAAUACGCAGGGGGCAAGCGUUAUCCGGAUUUACUGGGUGUAAAGGGAGCGUAGACGGCGAAGAAAGUCUGAAGUGAAAGCCCGCGGCUCAACCGCGGAAUGGCUUUGGAAACUUUUUUGCUGGAGUACCGGAG
rnacentral:rRNA from 1 species